UAAGGAAUAUUGGUCAAUGGACGCAAGUCUGAACCAGCCAUGCCGCGUGGAGGAUGAAGGCCCUCUGGGUUGUAAACUUCUUUUAUUUGGGAAGAAACCCAUCUUUUCUAAGGUGGUUGACGGUACCAGAUGAAUAAGCACCGGCUAACUCCGUGCCAGCAGCCGCGGUAAUACGGAGGGUGCAAGCGUUAUCCGGAUUCACUGGGUUUAAAGGGUGCGUAGGUGGGCAGGUAAGUCAGUGGUGAAAUCUCCGGGCUUAACCCGGAAACUGCCGUUGAUACUAUCUGUCUUGAAUAUCGUGGAGGUGAGCGGAAUAUGUCAUGUAGCGGUGAAAUGCUUAGAUAUGACAUAGAACACCAAUUGCGAAGGCAGCUCGCUACACGGUUAUUGACACUGAUGCACGAAAGCGUGGGGAUCAAACAGGAUUAGAUACCCUGGUAGUCCACGCCCUAAACGAUGGAUACUCGACAUACGCGAUACACAGUGUGUGUCUGAGCGAAAGCAUUAAGUAUCCCACCUGGGAAGUACGACCGCAAGGUUG
rnacentral:rRNA from 1 species